rnacentral:rRNA from 1 species
AUUGAACGCUGGCGGCAGGCUUAACACAUGCAAGUCGAGCGGGGAAGGGUAGCUUGCUACCUGACCUAGCGGCGGACGGGUGAGUAAUGCUUAGGAAUCUGCCUAUUAGUGGGGGACAACAUUCCGAAAGGAAUGCUAAUACCGCAUACGCCCUACGGGGGAAAGCAGGGGAUCUUCGGACCUUGCGCUAAUAGAUGAGCCUAAGUCAGAUGGGCUAGUUGGUGGGGUAAAGGCCUACCAAGGCGACGAUCUGUAGCGGGUCUGAGAGGAUGAGCCGCCACACUGGGACUGAGACACGGGCCAGACUCCUACGUGAGGCAGCAGUGGGGAAUAUUGGACAAUGGGGGGAACCCUGAUCCAGCCAUGCCGCGUGUGUGAAGAAGGCGUUAUGGUUGUAAAGCACUUUAAGCGAGGAGGAGGCUACUUUAGUUAAUACCUAGAGAUAGUGGACGUUACUCGCAGAAUAAGCACCGGCUAACUCUGUGCCAGCCGCCGCCGUAA